AGGAUAGUAGUUAAAAAUAACAUUUGGGUUGCAUUCAAAAGGUAUUGACAAUAAUCAAUCUAUCUUA
rnacentral:tRNA from 1 species